UAAGUGAGUAGUGAACUCGUGUGGCUCAACCAUUACGGCUAUUACUCAAACUGGCGAGCUCGAGAAUGGUAGAGGUAGCUGGAAUUUCUAGUGUAGGAGUGAAAUCCGUAGAUAUUAGAAGGAACACCAAUGGCGUAGGCAGGCUACUGGACCAUUUCUGACGCUGAGGCACGAAAGCGUGGGAGCGAACCGGAUUAGAUACCCGGGUAGUCCACGCCGUAGACGAUGGAUGCUA
rnacentral:rRNA from 1 species